rnacentral:rRNA from 1 species
UGGUUAAGUUAGAAAGGGCGCACGGUGGAUGCCUUGACACUAGGAGUCGAUGAAGGACGGGACUAACGCCGAUAUGCUUCGGGGAGCUGUAAGUAAGCUUUGAUCCGAAGAUUUCCGAAUGGGGAAACCCACCAUACGUAAUGGUAUGGUAUCCUUACCUGAAUACAUAGGGUAAGGAAGACAGACCCAGGGAACUGAAACAUCUAAGUACCUGGAGGAAGAGAAAGCAAAUGCGAUUUCCUGAGUAGCGGCGAGCGAAACGGAACAUAGCCCAAACCAAGAGGCUUGCCUCUUGGGGUUGUAGGACAUUCUAUACGGAGUUACAAAGGAACGAGGUAGACGAAGCGACCUGGAAAGGUCCGUCGUAGAGGGUAACAACCCCGUAGUCGAAACUUCGUUCUCUCUUGAAUGUAUCCUGAGUACGGCGGAACACGUGAAAUUCCGUCGGAAUCUGGGAGGACCAUCUCCCAAGGCUAAAUACUCCCUAGUGAUCGAUAGUGAACCAGUACCGUGAGGGAAAGGUGAAAAGCACCCCGGAAGGGGAGUGAAAGAGAUCCUGAAACCGUGUGCCUACAAAUAGUCAGAGCCCGUUAAUGGGUGAUGGCGUGCCUUUUGUAGAAUGAACCGGCGAGUUACGAUCCCGUGCGAGGUUAAGCUGAAGAGGCGGAGCCGCAGCGAAAGCGAGUCUGAAUAGGGCGUUUAGUACGUGGUCGUAGACCCGAAACCAGGUGAUCUACCCAUGUCCAGGGUGAAGUUCAGGUAACACUGAAUGGAGGCCCGAACCCACGCACGUUGAAAAGUGCGGGGAUGAGGUGUGGGUAGCGGAGAAAUUCCAAUCGAACCUGGAGAUAGCUGGUUCUCCCCGAAAUAGCUUUAGGGCUAGCCUUAAGUGUAAGAGUCUUGGAGGUAGAGCACUGAUUGAACUAGGGGUCCUCAUCGGAUUACCGAAUUCAGUCAAACUCCGAAUGCCAAUGACUUAUCCUUAGGAGUCAGACUGCGAGUGAUAAGAUCCGUAGUCAAGAGGGAAACAGCCCAGAUCGCCAGCUAAGGUCCCAAAGUGUGUAUUAAGUGGAAAAGGAUGUGGAGUUGCUUAGACAACUAGGAUGUUGGCUUAGAAGCAGCCACCAUUUAAAGAGUGCGUAAUAGCUCACUAGUCGAGUGACUCUGCGCCGAAAAUGUACCGGGGCUAAAUACACCACCGAAGCUGCGAAUUGAUACCAAUGGUAUCAGUGGUAGGGGAGCGUUCUAAGUGCAGUGAAGUCAGACCGGAAGGACUGGUGGAGCGCUUAGAAGUGAGAAUGCCGGUAUGAGUAGCGAAAGACGGGUGAGAAUCCCGUCCACCGAAUGCCUAAGGUUUCCUGAGGAAGGCUCGUCCGCUCAGGGUUAGUCAGGACCUAAGCCGAGGCCGACAGGCGUAGGCGAUGGACAACAGGUUGAUAUUCCUGUACCACCUCUUUAUCGUUUGAGCAAUGGAGGGACGCAGAAGGAUAGAAGAAGCGUGCGAUUGGUUGUGCACGUCCAAGCAGUUAGGCUGAUAAGUAGGCAAAUCCGCUUAUCGUGAAGGCUGAGCUGUGAUGGGGAAGCUCCUUAUGGAGCGAAGUCUUUGAUUCCCCGCUGCCAAGAAAAGCUUCUAGCGAGAUAAAAGGUGCCUGUACCGCAAACCGACACAGGUAGGCGAGGAGAGAAUCCUAAGGUGUGCGAGAGAACUCUGGUUAAGGAACUCGGCAAAAUGACCCCGUAACUUCGGGAGAAGGGGUGCUUUCUUAACGGAAAGCCGCAGUGAAUAGGCCCAAGCGACUGUUUAGCAAAAACACAGGUCUCUGCGAAGCCGUAAGGCGAAGUAUAGGGGCUGACACCUGCCCGGUGCUGGAAGGUUAAGGAGAGGGGUUAGCGUAAGCGAAGCUCUGAACUGAAGCCCCAGUAAACGGCGGCCGUAACUAUAACGGUCCUAAGGUAGCGAAAUUCCUUGUCGGGUAAGUUCCGACCCGCACGAAAGGUGUAACGAUUUGGGCACUGUCUCAACCAGAGACUCGGUGAAAUUAUAGUACCUGUGAAGAUGCAGGUUACCCGCGACAGGACGGAAAGACCCCGUGGAGCUUUACUGUAGCCUGAUAUUGAAUUUUGGUACA